UAGAUGCGAGAGUAGAGCAUAUCAAUAAGCGGAGGAAAAGAAACUAACAAGGAUUCCCUUAGUAACGGCGAGUGAAGCGGGAAGAGCUCAAAUUUGAAAUCUUCAAGGUUCUACCUUGGCGAAUUGUAGUUUAUAGAAGUGUUUUCUGUUAGUAGAGUGGCAAAAGUUCUUUGGAAUAGGACAUCAUAGAGGGUGAGAAUCCCGUAUUUGGUCAUUCUUUCUAGCUUUGUGAUACACUUUCAAAGAGUCGGAUUGUUUGGGAAUGCAGUCCAAAAUGGGUGGUAAAUUUCAUCUAAAGCUAAAUAUUGGCGAGAGACCGAUAGCGAACAAGUACCGUGAGGGAAAGAUGAAAAGAACUUUGAAAAGAGAGUUAAACAGUACGUGAAAUUGUCAAAAGGGAAGCGUUUGACACCAGUGUUGUUUUUCCGAAAAUCAAUUAAAAAUUGAUUCAUGCUAGGUUGUAUUGACCUCAUCAGCUUGCAAUUUAGUUUUGGGUCUCUUUUUGAUGCACUUUUCGGUUAACAAGUCAACAUCAAUUUCCUUUGCUGUAAAAAGGUAAGAGGAAGGUGGCUUCAAUUUCGGUUGAAGUGUUUAUAGUCUUUUAUCUCUGCAGUCGGGGAGAUUGAGGUCUGCAGCGUAGAUCCUUCGGGGCUAGAUACAUUUAUGCUAAGUUAUAGCUUUUCAUAGACAACUUGUUGACUAUGUUUAGUCAUGUAGCUUACUCGUAAGUGCUAUUUUACCUACGCUUAGGAUGUUGACACACGCGCGUGCUCG
rnacentral:rRNA from 1 species